GAUGAACGUUGGCGGCGUGCCUAACACAUGCAAGUCGAACGAUAGUCGCAAGACUAUAGUGGCGCACGGGUGAGUAACACGUAGCUUACCAGCCUCUCAGCGCGGGAUAACGGCUCGAAAGAGGUGCUAAUACCGCAUAAGCUCACGGGAUGUAGAGACUAGUGAGAAAAGGUGCAAAUCACUGAGAGACGGGGCUGCGGCCCAUCAGCAGUUGGUGCGGUAACGGCGCACCAAGGCGACGACGGGUAGGGACCUGAGAGGGUGA
rnacentral:rRNA from 1 species